UACAGAGGGGGCCAGCGUUAUUCGGAAUUACUGGGCGUAAAGCGUGCGCAGGCGGUUCGCUAAGACCGCUGUGAAAUCCCCGGGCUUAACCUGGGAACUGCAUUGGUGACUGGCGGGCUAGAGUAUGGCAGAGGGGGGUAGAAUUCCACGUGUAGCAGUGAAAUGCGUAGAGAUGUGGAGGAAUACCGAUGGCGAAGGCAGCCCCCUGGGCCAAUACUGACGCUCAUGCACGAAAGCGUGGGGAGCAAACAGG
rnacentral:rRNA from 1 species